GACGUAGGGCGCGAGCGUUGUCCGGAUUUAUUGGGCGUAAAGAGCUCGUAGGCGGCUUGUCGCGUCGUCUGUGAAAUCCCGCGGCUCAACCGCGGGUCUGCAGUCGAUACGGGCAGGCUAGAGUUCGGUAGGGGAGACUGGAAUUCCUGGUGUAGCGGUGAAAUGCGCAGAUAAUCAGGAGGAACACCGGUGGCGAAGGCGGGUCUCUGGGCCGAUACUGACGCUGAGGAGCGAAAGCGUGGGGAGCGAACAGG
rnacentral:rRNA from 1 species